AAUAGAGGCAUUUCGUUUGGUGAACUUGACUUUGAAACACCAUACACGAACACCUUGCGGAUUAAACACGUGAAGAAAAAAAGAAGAGUAGAAAUAAAAGAAAAUUACAUUUCAUUCGCGGUACAUAAAACAGUGAUUGAAGUUAAUUGAAUUUCGAUAUUACAUAAAAGAACAAGAAUUUAAGCGAAUAAAAACAAGCAACACUUUAAAAUGAAGGUUUUAUUAAUCUGUUUGUGCUCAGUAAUUGCAAUUGUUACAGGUCAACGAAUUACCACAAUACAGCUGGAUGGCGUUCAAUAUUUCGUAAGCCGAAUGAAUCCAUAUUCACCAGAACUGAAUUACUUCCUUGCAUACCAAUAUUGCCGUUCGUUGGGUCUUCAAUUAGCGUCAUUCGAAACAAAAGAAAAAGUUGAAUCGAUGAGUCAAUAUCUACAGAAUGCAGGCUACAGUAAAUACGACUUUUGGACGUCGGGCAAUCGACUAGGCACGGGUAUGUUCUUGUGGAUGAGCACUGGCUUACCGUUCAAUGCAACUUUCGACUAUUUCGAAAAUUCAAACGAUGCCGUACAGGCGGGCUUAUUGGAUCCCAUCGAUCACAAUAGCAAUACAUCACCACAACGAACCGCUCGAGACAGCAGUAGUGGUUUAGAGAAAGGCUGUAUAAUCCUCCAAGCUCCGGGUCUGCGAUGGGCUCCAGAAGACUGCAGUGCUGUCAAAGAUUUCAUUUGCGAACAAACAAGAUGUUAUUACUACAACUAUGGCAGCAUUCCAGUCUCUUCAGCACAGGGGUAAGAAUCAAUGUGGGAGAAAGACAGGGGAAGAGAGAGAGAGAAGAAAUUAAGGGAGAAACAACAUCGCAUUUCAACUCCUGAAUAAGUUAGACGUCCAAUUAUUAUCACAACAACAACAACCGAAACCCCAACCACACGACAAUAUUUUUCAACACCUCUUCCAAUACUAGCCGCAUCAACCAUUGCACCACAAUCACCACCACCCGUUCAACCAUCUGAAGCCGCCGACAAAAAUCUAUCACCAUUCGGUGCCUUAAAAAUCCGUUCUAAUAUCAAUGAAAACGAACUCAAAGAACCGCAAUUUAAUCACGAUGAAUCGGAAAAAGGGUCAAUGUUACACGAAUCGUUGGAUAAUGAUAAAACUGACAAAAACAUCGAACAAAUUACAGAAGAAACGGAAUUAGAUGGUGUGCCUCUAUUGAACGAAGAACAUGAAGGUACAUCGGAGAAAUUCGAAGAAACCACUUCCGUUGAACAACGCUUACGAAAGAUUUCCGAAGAAAUUGAAAAAUACAGUAGCGGAGACAAAGAAAGUGAUGUAGGACUGCAGAGUUUCUUUUCGUUAUCGGAUUUAAUCAAAACACUACGGCCGACCGAUAAGAAAGUAAUUCCACAAAUCGAUUCCGAUUAUUCGAAUACAAUGCGAGUUCUGGGUGAGACUUCGUCCAUUGUUGGCGUCGAUGAGGGACGAAAGGUUAGGGAUGGUGAUUCGUUACAAACGAAUCGGGGACAUUUUACGGAAAAAUAAAUUAAUUUCCAUUAGAAAGGUAUAUCAAUAUAGGAGUCAACACCAAAAUUAAUACUGUGAGUGAAGGAUUAGGUUUUUAACGUUCGACAGCAAGUUACGAUAUCUAUGUUCAACAUUUUUUUCCAGAAAUUUUUAAGCAAAAACAACGGAAAACCUACAGCAAAAAGUGAAAUUCACAACUUUUUCCUGUAUGUUUUCUUGAA